ACGCACGCUGGCGGCGUGCCUCAUACAUGCCAGUUGAGCGAUGAAGAUUGGUGCUUGCACCAAUUUGAAGAGCAGCGAACGGGUGAGUAACGCGUGGGGAAUCUGCCUUUGAGCGGGGGACAACAUUUGGAAACGAAUGCUAAUACCGCAUAACAACUUUAAACAUAAGUUUUAAGUUUGAAAGAUGCAAUUGCAUCACUCAAAGAUGAUCCCGCGUUGUAUUAGCUAGUUGGUGAGGUAAAGGCUCACCAAGGCGAUGAUACAUAGCCGACCUGAGAGGGUGAUCGGCCACAUUGGGACUGAGACACGGCCCAAACUCCUACGGGAGGCAGCAGUAGGGAAUCUUCGGCAAUGGACGAAAGUCUGACCGAGCAACGCCGCGUGAGUGAAGAAGGUUUUCGGAUCGUAAAACUCUGUUGGUAGAGAAGAACGUUGGUGAGAGUGGAAAGCUCAUCAAGUGACGGUAACUACCCAGAAAGGGACGGCUAACUACGUG
rnacentral:rRNA from 1 species